rnacentral:lncRNA from 1 species
GACAACCCGAGAAAUUAGAAAAUUAUUAAAAUCUUAAAUGAUUGGUUUAAGGUCAAAUAAUAGACCUAGACAGAAAAUAAGUGAAUGUGUUUGAUGUUUUCAGAAAGGAAUUUUGAGCAUUUAAAAUUUCUUUUAGUGAAUUAUUCAGGAUUAAGGGUAUAUGUGUAUAUGUUCAAGAUUACGGUAUCAUGUGUACAUAAUGUGGUUAAGGGUCAAGUGUUGACCAGAUAAAUUAUAUCGGUGUCAAACCCUAAUAGUAUAUAUUAAGAACGUCCACGUUCAGUUAUAAAAUUAUUACGUUUUAUAAGAAACCCUAGAAAUCGAUUCUGGAAACCCUAAUUUCAGUUCCGGGAAUCCGAAACCCUAAUUCGAUAUUUGAAAACCCUAAUCCGAAAAAUUAUCGGAUAAGUAUAAUGCUUAAGUGCUAU